rnacentral:rRNA from 1 species
UGGGGAAUUUUGCGCAAUGGGCGAAAGCCUGACGCAGCAACGCCGCGUGAGUGAUGAAGGCCUUCGGGUCGUAAAGCUCUGUCAGAAGGGAAGAAAUGGAAGGGUGUUAAUACCAUCUUUUCCUGACGGUACCUUCAAAGGAAGCACCGGCUAACUCCGUGCCAGCAGCCGCGGUAAUACGGAGGGUGCAAGCGUUGUUCGGAAUUAUUGGGCGUAAAGCGCGUGUAGGCGGUCUUUUAAGUCUGAUGUGAAAGCCCCGGGCUCAACCUGGGAAGUUCAUUGGAAACUGGGAGACUUGAAUACGGGAGAGGGCAGUGGAAUUCCUAGUGUAGGAGUGAAAUCCGUAGAUAUUAGGAGGAACACCGGUGGCGAAGGCGGCUGCCUGGACCGAUAUUGACGCUGAGACGCGAAAGCGUUGGGGAGCAAACAGGAUU